rnacentral:lncRNA from 1 species
UGUUUCCCUGGCUGGCCCGGAAUCUACUGUGUAGAUCAGGCUAGCCUCUAACCCACAGAGAUCUGUGUCUUAAACACUGUGAUUAAAGGUAUGGCACUCGGGAGGCAGAGGCAGGCGGAUCUCUGUGAGGACAGCCUGGUCUACAGAACAAGCUCAAGGACAUGCUCCAAAGCUGCAAAGAGAAACCAUGUCUUGAAAAACAAAGAAAGAAAGAAACAAACAAGGAUCUGUUGACAGACUGGAGUUCAAGUAGAUUAUGCCAGCAAAGACUGCAUCUCCCUGCAUCGGCCUCUCCUAUACUGGCAUGACAAGCAUGUGUCACCACACCCAGCCCCACACACCAUUGGUUUUCCAGAAUGAACUCAGAUCUCAAGCAAACAAGGUGAGCACUU